rnacentral:rRNA from 1 species
GACGAACGCUGGCGGCGUGCUUAACACAUGCAAGUCGAACGGAAAGGCCCUGCUUUUGUGGGGUGCUCGAGUGGCGAACGGGUGAGUAACACGUGAGUAACCUGCCCUUGACUUUGGGAUAACUUCAGGAAACUGGGGCUAAUACCGGAUAGGAGCUCCUGCUGCAUGGUGGGGGUUGGAAAGUUUCGGCGGUUGGGGAUGGACUCGCGGCUUAUCAGCCUGUUGGUGGGGUAGUGGCUUACCAAGGCUUUGACGGGUAGCCGGCCUGAGAGGGUGACCGACCACAUUGGGACUGAGAUACGGCCCAGACUCCUACGGGAGGCAGCAGUGGGGAAUAUUGCACAAUGGGCGGAAGCCUGAUGCAGCAACGCCGCGUGCGGGAUGACGGCCUUCGGGUUGUAAACCGCUUUCGCCUGUGACGAAGCGUGAGUGACGGUAAUGGGUAAAGAAGCACCGGCUAACUACGUG